rnacentral:lncRNA from 1 species
ACCGGUACAACCAUCACCCUUGUACCGGUACAGCAGCUCCAGAAUGCUGUUUUUCGAUCCGUUUUGAUUUCCUUUCGCGUCCAACAACGCUAAAACUAUUCCAACACUUUUGGAACUCAUUUUUACUCUUCCAAACAUGUUGAAGCACCGGAUGGAACUCGUCCAAACCGUUCAAUCGCUCACUUUGGUCCAUUUGGCCAAAGUUA